rnacentral:rRNA from 1 species
UACGUAGGGGGGCAAGCGUUGUCCGGAUUUAUUGGGCGUAAAGAGCGUGUAGGCGGUUUGGUAGGUCCGCUGUGAAAACUCGAGGCUCAACCUCGAGACGCCGGUGGAAACCAUCAGACUAGAGUCCGGAAGAGGAGAGUGGAAUUCCUGGUGUAGCGGUGAAAUGCGCAGAUAUCAGGAAGAACACCCUGGCUAAGGCGGCUCUCUAGUACGGUACUGACGCUGAG